rnacentral:lncRNA from 1 species
UUUACAAGUGGAUCUCAAAAUUCUAUCUUUUCUAGAGUUAUUAGUCUUCAAACUCUGAAACUUUUAUUAUAUUUUUUAGUAAAUACAUUUUUCAUUCACAAUACAUCUGGCAUAUAAUGAUCGUAUUAAUGUUAUAUGGAUAAGGAUAAAUUUGUCGGUUUUCAUGAGCUAAAUUGACACCGAGUCAUCUCCACAAUGGCUAAAUUUAUUUGGUACAAAUUUGACUGAUUUGGUACAUAAGAAUGUAAUCAUGUCAGCUUAAGGAAUGUUUUUCAGAUGUUCAGACUCAUUUGGUUUUUGAUACGAUACAGGGUAAAUCAUUUUGACCCAUAUCACCCACUUUCCUUUUCACCAAAGACUGCAAUAG